GGAAUCUUCCACAAUGGACGAAAGUCUGAUGGAGCAACGCCGCGUGAGUGAAGAAGGGUUUCGGCUCGUAAAACUCUGUUGUUAAAGAAGAACAUAUCUGAGAGUAACUGUUCAGGUAUUGACGGUAUUUAACCAGAAAGCCACGGCUAACUACGUGCCAGCAGCCGCGGUAAUACGUAGGUGGCAAGCGUUGUCCGGAUUUAUUGGGCGUAAAGCGAGCGCAGGCGGUUUUUUAAGUCUGAUGUGAAAGCCUUCGGCUCAACCGGGGAGGGUCAUUGGAAACUGGGAGACUUGAGUGCAGAAGAGGAGAGUGGAAUUCCAUGUGUAGCGGUGAAAUGCGUAGAUAUAUGGAAGAACACCAGUGGCGAAGGCGGCUGUCUGGUCUGUACCUGACGCUGAGGCUCGAAAGUAUGGGUAGCAAACA
rnacentral:rRNA from 1 species